CCAGCUUGGUGUUAGUGAACUGUUAUCAAUAGUUAUUAAAUUUUGUCCUUACUAAUAUAUUCUUCUAUCAUUACCAACUUUUUUUUUUAUUUGUCCCUAAGUUGGGGGCAAAAGAAGUAUUUUGAUUUUUGGUCUUUUUAAAUAUACUCUUCUUCCAUCACCAACUUUUUUUAUUUAUCCUUAUGUUAAGGACAAAAGAGAUAUUUUGAUUUUUUUUUUAUAACUCUAGUAGACACUUAACUCACGUUUAAUUCGAGAUAACUUAGGCUUCGUUUGGGAUUGUAGGGAGAUUGCGUUACGUACGGUGAGAAACGACGAUGGAAAAAUACCUUGUUUGUUUCCAUACGCAAUAUUGCGUUCCGAUAUUGCGGUUAGUCGGCCCAUCGGAGAACGCAGAAGCAUAUCGCUAUAUGUUUUUUCUCAACUCCAUUCUGUCUAAUAGCGUUAAGCUUUAAUGAGUGGUAACUACGGAAUAUUUUUGAAUAACGGAGAAACAUAUGAUGGGUAUAUUGGAAAUAAAAGAAAUAAGGAUAAAUUAGAUAUUUUCAAAAUUUUGAGGGGUAUAUAGGCAAUUAUCCCUUAUUUUUUAUACUUAUAUCUAAACCAUAUCCGAUCAACAUGAAGUAAACCCACUGCACUCGGAUUCAGAUUUUCAUAAAAUUUCGGAUAUUCUUAUCCAUUGAUAUCUCAAGUUAUGAAGGGUUAAAUGUAUACAGGUAUCUGUAAAUAUAGUGAAUUACAAAUAUAUUCUUAUAAAGUUCAACUUUCAUAUGUUGUCCCUACAAAAUUUUAAUAUUUCCAAAUAUAUUCCUUUGAUUUUUUACCGUUAGAAAACUGUCAAUUUAAUAAGAGAAAUGUCAAUUUUGCCAUCACAAAUAUAUCUCUCCAAAAACCACACAACACGAUAAUAUAAGAGGGUAAAAUGUCAAGUUAUCUCAGAAACUAAUCAGGAUUAAAUAUUUAACCUAUAGUUAACUAAAAUUUUCUAACAGAUUCUAACGGCAGAGAUAUAUUUGAAAAUGUUAGAACUUUUACAGAAACAACAUAUGGAAGAUAAAUUUUAUAGAAAUACAUUUAUAAUUUACUAUGUUUGCAGGGAUCUGAAUGCAAUUAACCAAAUUAUGAAAGGAUAGAACAGCAGCAGGGAGGUGGGUGAUUAGCCCCUAACUCUCACCCGGUUCACGUGCGGUGAGCGUACCUCCGUAAAGGGCAACGACAUCUUGCCCUCGUGGCACACGUGGCUCCAUUCCGAUGCCUCCGCAGCUUCGCGGGUAGAUCUCCGGUGUAACGGUUAUAAAUCACGGCCCCGACAUUACGGGACGACAGAUCUCAGCCGUCCGUUCCGGGGCCAAACGUAGUCAACGCUGGAGUUUUUGGGAUGACCGAUCGGACGGUCGUUAGAUCCAAAAGAAAGGAUCCAAC
rnacentral:lncRNA from 1 species